CAGCACCUCAAGUGGUCAGGAUGAUUAUUGGGCCUAAAGCAUCCGUAGCCGGCUCUGUAAGUUUUCGGUUAAAUCUGUACGCUCAACGUACAGGCUGCCGGGAAUACUGCAGAGCUAGGGAGUGGGAGAGGCAGACGGUACUCGGUAGGAAGGGGUAAAAUCCUUUGAUCUAUUGAUGACCACCUGUGGCGAAGGCGGUCUACCAGAACACGUCCGACGGUGAGGGAUGAAAGCUGGGGGAGCAAACCGGAUUAGAUACCCGAGUAGUCC
rnacentral:rRNA from 1 species